UUCUUUUUCUAGAUCAAUGAGACGUUGCAAUGGCGUCACCAAUUCAGGAAAAACAAGUACACAGUCUCAAUCCAUCGUGUCAUGAUGAUUACUAUUCCCACAUUGUUUCUUUUUUUUUAAUUUUUUUUUUAAUUUAUUAAGGUCCCUUUUUAAUCUCUGUUCUAAUCAGCAUUAAACACGUCGUUAGCCAAUGAUUAGGAUAUCGAAACUAGAGACCCUCCAUCUCGGUUGGAAGGUUACUUGGAACGUGAUGCAGUCAGUGCCUUUGUCAGUUUGUUGUCCCCGCUGACUGAUCAAGGAUCUUGUACGGCUCCAUCCAUGUGCCAUGAUGGCCCAUGAGUUGCAAACCAGUUGAAAGC
rnacentral:lncRNA from 1 species